CAGUCGCCGCGGGAAUACAGAGGGUGCAAGCGUUAAUCGGAAUUACUGGGCGUAAAGCGCGCGUAGGUGGUUUGUUAAGUUGGAUGUGAAAGCCCCGGGCUUAACCUGGGAACUGCAUCCAAAACUGGCAAGCUAGAGUACGGUAGAGGGUGGUGGAAUUUCCUGUGUAGCGGUGAAAUGCGUAGAUAUAGGAAGGAACACCAGUGGCGAAGGCGACCACCUGGACUGAUACUGACACUGAGGUGCGAAAGCGUGGGGAGCAAACAGGAUUAGAGACCCCUGUAGUCCCUGUCUCUUAUAC
rnacentral:rRNA from 1 species